rnacentral:rRNA from 1 species
UGGGGAAUAUUGCACAAUGGGCGAAAGCCUGAUGCAGCAACGCCGCGUGAGUGAUGAAGGUCUUCGGAUUGUAAAGCUCUGUCUUUUGGGACGAUAAUGACGGUACCAAAGGAGGAAGCCACGGCUAACUACGUGCCAGCAGCCGCGGUAAUACGUAGGUGGCGAGCGUUGUCCGGAUUUACUGGGCGUAAAGGGUGCGUAGGCGGAUGUUUAAGUGAGAUGUGAAAUACCCGGGCUUAACUUGGGUGCUGCAUUUCAAACUGGAUAUCUAGAGUGCAGGAGAGGAGAAUGGAAUUCCUAGUGUAGCGGUGAAAUGCGUAGAGAUUAGGAGAACACCAGUGGCGAAGGCGAUUCUCUGGACUGUAACUGACGCUGAGGCACGAAAAGCGUGGGUAGCAAAACA